CCUACGGGUGGCAGCAGUGAGGAAUAUUGGUCAAUGGACGCAAGUCUGAACCAGCCAUGCAGCGUGCAGGAAGACGGCUCUAUGAGUUGUAAACUGCUUUUGUACGAGGGUAAACUCAGAUACGCGUAUCUUUCUGAAAGUAUCGUACGAAUAAGGAUCGGCUAAUUCCGUGCCAGCAGCCGCGGUAAUACGGAGGAUUCAAGCGUUAUCCGGAUUUAUUGGGUUUAAAGGGUGCGUAGGCGGUCUGUUAAGUUAGAGGUGAAAUCCCGAGGCUCAACUUCGGAAUUGCCUCUGAUACUGGUCGGCUAGAGAGUAGUUGCGGUAGGCGGAAUGUAUGGUGUAGCGGUGAAAUGCUUAGAGAUCAUACAGAACACCGAUUGCGAAGGCAGCUUACCAAGCUACUUCUGACGUUGAGGCACGAAAGCGUGGGGAGCAAACAGGAUUAGAUACCCUAGUAGUC
rnacentral:rRNA from 1 species